GUUUUCAGAAUGAUUUGUAUUUAUUUUAGGUAAAUCUUGUUCACCUGAAGGUCCUGAUCUCAUGGUGGCAGAUGGUUUAAUCCAACCUGAAGAGACAAAAAUUUAAAAUGUAGCCAACAGAUUUCCACAGGCCAUAAGGGAUGGAAAUAUCACGGAACUGUUGGAUCAGUUCUCAUAGUAUUAGCUGUCUUCUGAUGAACUACCCAGCUUUGACCAGGCAAUAGCAACAUAUAUUGUAUAGUUUGUUGGGAGCAAUGGCAGAGAUCAUAGAUGACAUUUUAGAUGGCAAAAAAAAACAUUAUGACACUCUUUCAAAGCUUCAUGAAGCUAUUAUAGUUCAUCCAAAUAUCAAUUCUGACUGUGAGAGAUCAUUUUCAAUUAUAAAGAAAUUUACCCUGAAUUCUGAUCAGAACUCGACAAUGAUAUAUUGUGUGCCUUGUUAUCAAGUAAAUGUAACCAAACUAGCAGUUGUUUUGACUAUGUGCCUACUGGUGUUGCUUUAAAAGCAGCAAAACAGACCACUGUUGAAUACAAUAAAAGUUUACAGUUGAA